AUCCUCACUGAGGGCACUUUUUGGAUGUUGGCACAAAAAAGGGCUUCUGGUGAGGGUGG
rnacentral:pre_miRNA from 1 species